CAAUUAUAAUAAUAAUUUUUUGUUUCAAUAAUUUUCAGCUAUUCUGCCCAUAAGUUCAAGUGGCGAUGGCACUCCAUGUUAAAGACAGUUUCCCUUCACGAUUAUUCUGUAAGAAAGUCGAUGAUCUCAUCACAGCCAUGAUGUCUCGGACUCCAGGAGGAGCCUUACGUCACAAUUCUGUGCACAAGAAGUCUAUCGCAGAUUUCUUAUCAUAAUUGAAACAAGGGGAAGCCCUGUGCAAUGUCAGUAGGCCAGUAUUGGAGUGUUUAUCAGCACCGACAUUGUUGGGAUUGAAAGUUACUCUUCAGGCGACCCUUGAGCGACUAUUUUCAUGAGACUCAUGGCUAUCAAUAUCUUAUGACUUGUCGUGUCAAUCAAGAUGUACUCGAGGUUCUUUGGUCUCGUUCGAGCAGCAUGUGGAUGCAACGAUCACCCUGAAGCAAGACAGUUCGCACAAAGUUAUCGCUUAAUGAGU